rnacentral:rRNA from 1 species
AGAGAUGUGUGAUGACGCAUAUCAAUAAGCGGAGGAAAAGAAACUAACAAGGAUUCCCUUAGUAACGGCGAGUGAAGCGGGAAGAGCUCAAAUUUGAAAUCUUCAAGGUUCUACCUUGACGAAUUGUAGUUUAUAGAAGUGUUUUCUGUUAGUAGAGUGGCAAAAGUUCUUUGGAAUAGGACAUCAUAGAGGGUGAGAAUCCCGUAUUUGGUCAUUCUUUCUAGCUUUGUGAUACACUUUCAACGAGUCGGAUUGUUUGGGAAUGCAGUCCAAAAUGGGUGGUAAUUUCAUCUAAAGCUAAAUAUUGGCGAGAGACCGAUAGCGAACAAGUACCGUGAGGGAAAGAUGAAAAGAACUUUGAAAAGAGAGUUAAACAGUACGUGAAAUUGUCAAAAGGGAAGCGUUUGAUACCAGUGUUGUUUUUCCGAAAAUCAAUUACGAAUGUUUUGUUUUUGAGGAAGUUAUGACUUCAUCGGCUUGCUCCUUUCUUUAUGAAACUUUCUUAAUGCACUUUUCGGUUAACAAGUCAACAUCAAUUUCUUUUGUUGUAAAAGGGUAUGAGGAAGGUGGCUUUCUUUUCGGAGAAAGUGUUUAUAGCCUUGUACCUCUGCAAUCGGAGAGAUUGAGGUCUGCAGCGUAGAUCCUUCGGGGUUAGAUACAUUUGUGCUAAGUUAUAGCUUUUCAUAGACAACUUGUUGACUAUGUUAAGUCUUGUAGCUUACUCGCUUAUGCUAUUUUACCUACGCUUAGGAUGUUGAUCUGUAGUGCGUGCGC